rnacentral:rRNA from 1 species
GAUAAACGCUGGCGGCGCACAUAAGACAUGCAAGUCGAACGGAAGUCGUUGUAAUGAUAUAGACAUGGACAGAGAACUUGUUCGAAGAAAGUGGAAGUUGACUUACAACAAUGGCUUUAGUGGCGGACUGGUGAGUAACACGUAAGCAACCUGCCUAUCAGAGGGGAACAACAGUUAGAAAUGACUGCUAAUACCGCAUAUGCCUAAGUAUCACAUGAUACAAUAGGGAAAGGAGCAAUCCGCUGAUAGAUGGGCUUGCGUCUGAUUAGAUAGUUGGUGGGGUAACGGCCUACCAAGUCGACGAUCAGUAGCCGGACUGAGAGGUUGAACGGCCACAUUGGGACUGAGAUACGGCCCAGACUCCUACGGGAGGCAGCAGUCGGGAAUGUUGCGCAAUGGAGGAAACUCUGACGCAGUGACGCCGCGUGCAGGAAGAAGGUUUUCGGAUUGUAAAGCUCUAUCAGCAGGGAAGA